CUCCCUCUCCUUAAUGUUGGGUCAGGUAUUCUGCCACAGUGGGAAGGUAUUUGGCAGCCUUUCUCAAUAGCAAGGCUCUCUCUCCCUCUCCUUAAUGUUGGGUCAGGUAUUCUGCCACAGUGGGAAGGUAUUUGGCAGCCUUUCUCAAUAGCAAGGCUCUCUCUCUCCCUCUCCUUAAUGUUGGGUCAGGUAUUCUGCCACAGUGGGAAGGUAUUUGGCAGCCUUUCUCAAUAGCAAGGCUCUCUCUCUCCUCUCCUUAAUGUUGGGUCAGGUAUUCUGCCACAGUGGGAAGGUAUUUGGCAGCCUUUCUCAAUAGCAAGGCUCUCUCUCUCCCUCUCCUUAAUGUUGGGUCAGGUAUUCUGCCACAGUGGGAAGGUAUUUGGCAGCCUUUCUCAAUAGCAAGGCUCUCUCUCUCCCUCUCCUUAAUGUUGGGUCAGGUAUUCUGCCACAGUGGGAAGGUAUUUGGCAGCCUUUCUCAAUAGCAAGGCUCUCUCUCCCUCUCCUUAAUGUUGGGUCAGGUAUUCUGCCACAGUGGUCAGGUAUUUGGCAGCCUUUCUCAAUAGCAAGGCUCUCUCUCUCCCUCUCCUUAAUGUUGGGUCAGGUAUUCUGCCACAGUGGGAAGGUAUUCGGCAGCCUUUCUCAAUAGCAAGGCUCUCUCUCCCUCUCCUUAAUGUUGUUUUUUUGCCACUGUGAACUCUCUAUUUAGGGCCAAAUAGCAUUUCAGUUUUUGGUCAAUUCUUUCCAAUGUGUUUUCUCAUGAUUUGGUUGGGUCUAAUUGUGAUGCUAUUGCUGUCCUGGGGCUCUGUGGGGUCUGUUUGUGUUUGUGAACAGAGCCCCAGGACCAGCUUGCUUAGGGGACUCUUUUCCAGGUUCAUCUCUCUGUAGGUGAUGGUUUGUUUGUGAUGGCUUUGUUAUGGAAGG